rnacentral:lncRNA from 1 species
CUCAGAGGGAGACAGAUAAUGAAUGUACAACAAACAAUCCAAUGUCAAAAAUGAUCACUAUUGCACGAUGAGACUACAAACCUAGGUUUUCAGCAAUUUCUACACAUGAUGUUCUAACUCUGGCCAUGGCAGAAUUUAGCUGGCUGAUUCUUUGAAUCUGGCUAGGGUGGAUUCUUACAAGGACAAAGAGGAUUUGCUCAGUAACCGGCAAGAGAGAGUCUUGCCAACCCCACUUCUUGAUAUUCAACCAACUGGCAAGCUAUGGACACAGGAUAAGGAUGUUGGAUAGUUUUUUUCACUUCUGGAUUGGAGUUCCUCUAGCAUUUUUUACUGGUAUGUUGACUCUUCCUUUAACUAUAGUUUGUGGCCAUGGAUAUCACUCUGGAUUUUCCAACUGUUCUAGGUGGAGUCCAACCUUUGCAUUAUAGUCAGGUUUUCUCAACACCUAUGCUAUUUAUUGAAUAUAUGCCUUGCCCAGCUCCAUCUCCUAUCAUAUGUGCUGCUAUGAUCCAUCAGUGGAUGGUCUUUGUAGAUAAUGUAUUGGGUGCCGUGCAACAUCCGCUAUUUCUACAGCUUUGUGUCUAACCAUGAUUCCUGGAAUUUCUUGUUCAAU